rnacentral:rRNA from 1 species
CUAUACAUGACUCUGCGCAUAUCAAUAAGCGGAGGAAAAGAAACUAACGAGGAUUCCCCUAGUAACGGCGAGUGAAGCGGGAAGAGCUCAAAUUUGAAAUCCUAAAGGGUUUCCCUUUACGAAUUGUAGUUUAAAGAAGUGUUUUCUGUUGAGGUUUUGGUAAAAGUUCUUUGGAAUAGGACAUCAUAGAGGGUGAGAAUCCCGUAUUUGACCUUUACUUUCAACUUUGUGAUACACUUUCAAAGAGUCGGAUUGUUUGGGAAUGCAGUCCAAAAUGGGUGGUAAAUUUCAUCUAAAGCUAAAUAUUGGCGAGAGACCGAUAGCGAACAAGUACCGUGAGGGAAAGAUGAAAAGAACUUUGAAAAGAGAGUUAAACAGUACGUGAAAUUGUCAAAAGGGAAGCGUUUGACACCAGUGUUGUUUUUCUGAAAAUCAAUUAAAGAACUGUUUAUGCUAAGCUGUUUAGACUUUAUCAGCUAUCUGUUUAGUUUUGAGCUUUUCUUUAAUGCACUUUUCAGUUAACAAGUCAACAUCAAUUUCUUUUGCUGUAAAAAAGCUUGAGGAAGGUGGCUUGAGAUUCGUCUUAAGUGUUUAUAGCCUCUUGCCUAUGCAGUCGGAGAGAUUGAGGUCUGCAGCGUAGAUCCUUCGGGGCUAAAUGCAUUUGUGCUAAGUUAUAGCAUUUUAUAGACAACUUGUUGACUAUGAUUUGUCUUGUAGCUUACUCGCUUAUGUUAUUUUACCUACGCUUAGGAUGUUGAUCUACAGAGCGAGAGU